rnacentral:rRNA from 1 species
CCUACGGGAGGCAGCAGUGAGGAAUAUUGGUCAAUGGGCGCAAGCCUGAACCAGCCAAGUCGCGUGAGGGAUGAAGGCUCUAUGGAUUGUAAACCGCUUUUAUAAGAGAAUAAAGUGCGGGACGUGUCCCGUGUUGAAUGUACCUUAUGAAUAAGGAUCGGCUAACUCCGUGCCAGCAGCCGCGGUAAUACGGAGGAUCCGAGCGUUAUCCGGAUUUAUUGGGUUUAAAGGGUGCGUAGGCGGCUUUUUAAGUUAGCGGUGAAAGGCUGGGGCUCAACCAUGAAAUUGCCUCUGAAACUGGGGGACUGGAGUAUUGUUGCGGCAGGCGGAAUGCGUGGUGUAGCGGUGAAAUGCUUAGAUAUCACGCAGAACCCCGAUUGCGAAGGCAGCCUGCCAAGCCAUGACUGACGCUGAUGCACGAAAGCGUGGGUAGCAAACAGGAUUAGAUACCCUUGUAGUC